UGGGGAAUUUUGGACAAUGGACGAAAGUCUGAUCCAGCCAUUCCGCGUGCAGGACGAAGGCCUUCGGGUUGUAAACUGCUUUUGUACAGAACGAAAAGGUUUCUAUUAAUACUAGGAGCCCAUGACGGUACUGUAAGAAUAAGCACCGGCUAACUACGUGCCAGCAGCCGCGGUAAUACGUAGGGUGCAAGCGUUAAUCGGAAUUACUGGGCGUAAAGCGUGCGCAGGCGGUUAUGUAAGACAGAUGUGAAAUCCCCGGGCUCAACCUGGGAACUGCAUUUGUGACUGCAUAGCUGGAGUGCGGCAGAGGGGGAUGGAAUUCCGCGUGUAGCAGUGAAAUGCGUAGAUAUGCGGAGGAACACCGAUGGCGAAGGCAAUCCCCUGGGCCUGCACUGACGCUCAUGCACGAAAGCGUGGGGAGCAAACAGG
rnacentral:rRNA from 1 species